rnacentral:rRNA from 1 species
GACGGAGGGGGCAAGCGUUGUUCGGAAUUAUUGGGUUUAAAGGGUGCGUAGGCGGACUAUUAAGUCAGUGGUGAAAGCCCCAAGCUUAACUUGGGAACUGCCAUUGAUACUGAUGGUCUUGAGUACAUUUGAGGUGGGCGGAAUGUGUCAUGUAGCGGUGAAAUGCUUAGAUAUGACACAGAACACCGAUUGCGAAGGCAGCUCACUAAACUGUAACUGACGCUGAGGCACGAAAGCGUGGGGAGCAAACAGG